UUCCCUCUUUGCCCCCCCCCACAGCUGGUCUGCGAAGAUGUGAACUUGGAUCGCUUCUAUCCCGUCCUGUAUCCCAAGGCCUCCCGCCUGAUCGUCACCUUCGACGAACAUGUCAUCAGCAAUAACUUCAAAUUUGGGGUGAUUUACCAGAAAUUGGGCCAGACGUCGGAAGAGGAGCUAUUCAGCACCACGGAGGAGAGCCCGGCCUUUCUGGAAUUCCUGGAGUUUUUGGGCGAGAAGGUGCAGCUGCAGGAUUUCA